rnacentral:rRNA from 1 species
CCCUUAGAUGUCCUGGGCCGCACGCGCGUUACACUGAUGCAUUCAACGAGCUUAUAACCUUGGCCGAGAGGCCUGGGCAAUCUUGUUAACGUGCAUCGUGAUAGGGAUAGAUUAUUGAAAUUAUUAAUCUUGAACGAGGAAUUCCUAGUAAACGCAGAUCAUCAAUCUGCAUUGAUUACGUCCCUGCCCUUUGUACACACCGCCCGGCGCACCUACCGAUUGGAUGGUCCGGUGAAGCCUCGGGAUUGUGGUUCUUGCCGCUUUAUUGUGGCGUGACCGCGAGAACUUGUCUAAACCUUAUCAUCUAGAGGAAGGUGAAGUCGUAACA